rnacentral:misc_RNA from 1 species
GUUUUUUAACACUCUUCCCCUAGCCUUUUCUCAUUAGAUAUAUCACGUACUUGAUACCAACAGUCAUCAAAUGAAGCAAAUCGGAAACUAUGUCACUGCCCUUAAUAGCUAGCUACUGAAGCAAGUGGUUGUCUACGAACAACAAAAAAUUAAUUGUACAAGGCAUGAACUCCGGAUCACCAUGAUCAUGUCUCCGCAGACUUGGGGAUUUCAGCCAAAGCAUCUUCAGCUCUUACUUUCUGGGGAAUAAAAUCUGACAGAAAGUCAAAUCUGGGUCGUUUGGAAACAACUGAAGACAGAUGGUUGUAUCCAACAUAACUUUUGCGAUCCAGAAAAGAACAAGAAUAAGCCUCCCUGCAAAAUAUUUCAAGAAAUUUCUCCGUAGCUUUGUUAACAAGAAAGGUUGCUUCGUGUAACAUCCUAAUCUCAGUAUUUUCAUUUUUUAUUAUCCGAUGAACUCGAUUGUGGGGAAAUUGGUAAAGCGCACUCUCACUCUUCUCAUCUUCCUCCUCUUCAUCAUCCUCCCUUUUCCUCUUCGCCUUCAAUUUCUUCUCCUCAUUCUUUUUGGUGGUACCGUUGCUAAUUGCUUCAUCUUUUACCUUGCCAUUGUUUGUUUUACCCUUCUUUUCCUUCUCCCUUUUCAUCUUCUCCUUUUUAGCAGGACUUGCAACUCCAUUACUAUUUGAUUUUUUCACUAGAUUUUCUUCAGCCUCUUCAUCUCCUUCCUUCUUAUUUUGUGUCUUCUUCAUAUUUUUCUCUUCUUUUUUCAACUGACUCGAAUCACCAUUGAUCUUGGCCUUCUUUGCUGAUUGUCUUUCUCUUUCUCUU